rnacentral:miRNA from 1 species
CCAUCCCCCCUCCUCUGCC